UGCAACAUGUGACUCACUUAGGGAGUUUUUGUGUUGGUGUCAUUCUUAGUAAUAACCUUUGCUCUAAUUAUUUUCUACACUUCUGUCUUAUUUCUAAACAGAGACAGCUUUAUAGGAAAGGAACCACUGAAAAAGAUGUUUAUAUCUGCAAAGCUACCAGAGAUCACUGGGAAGGGUAUUCAGAAAGGCUGUGGAUACAGAAGAUGAAGAGAGGAGGAGUAACUUAAAGAGUGGAUAGAAGAGGCCAGAAUUAAAGCUAUAUUUCUACCCCGUA